GAUAUCACAGUAUGUAUGUCUCUGACAUCAAGGAUAUGCAACAGCAGUGCCUAACAGAAACGUCUACUAAAAAUUUGAGAUACAGACUUAUCAAAACUACAACAGAAUGCAUAUUCUAUAUUGAAACUGAAGUGCUAUCAAGUUGUUCUUUUCUCCCUUUCCUCCUUUAAGUUAUUAGAGAAAUAUAUACAUUAAUUUUCUUUUAUGUGGCUAAAAUAGCUUUCACAAUAAUCCUCUACAGCUUAUGUUCUGGCUUCCAUAUACCCUAAAGGAAUUCUGAAAAGCUAUGUACUCUCCUGCACAAUUUUAAAAUGUUUUAAAUUUAAAUAGUUACAAAAGAUGCAUUUCAGGGAAUGCUGUAUACUGUAAAUGUGAUUUAUAACUAUUUCACUAAACAAUAAUUGAAUAACUUUCAGAUUUAGCUCAUUUAUGAAAAACGUCUGUCAUACAACUUAAUUGACAAAGUCGAUCUUCACUGUCAAAAUAAACAGCAACAUCAGCUCAGUUUGUCAGAAGUCAAACUUUAUUGUUAAAUUCAAACAAACAUUAUUAAUGUCAUGGUCUCAAGGAUUAGAAGCCUCUGGAGGAAACUACAACUGCUUCUGACAUAUUACAUCAAGGUAUGAGAACUUUACAAGCUUCUCCUCUUCUUUAUCCCAAAUGAUGAUGAAGUACUUACAAUAAGGUUAACAUAAAUCUUUGUGAUAACCAUAUCACUUCUUAAUUCUUAGACAGAUAGAUAUGACAUAACAUAGAUAGAUGACAUUUUGGCUACCAAGAAUUUUUACUAUCAUCCCCCUAUAACAUUCUUUUGUGAACUCUUUUGCUUGGUACUCAGUGAACUCUCCAAUAGGAGUAAUACUUUUUUUUUUUUUUUUUUUUUUCCUGUUUGGUGCCCUAGAGGUUUUUACAUCUUGGAUCAAUGCAUAAUGGGAAAUACAUAACAGCAAAAGGGCCCAUCUCCUGGAUCUGAGAAGGAAUUACAGAUUUCAUCCAAGCUCCCGUCUGUGAAUUACAGCCAUUCACUGCUUAAAGACGGAAUGUAUUCUUGGUUAUUUUGCACAAAAGGCAGAAGAGACUAAGUCUGCAUUAACGGCAAAGAAAGAAAGCCCCUGCUCAACAGGCAUGACAGCUGAUCACGCACCUAUUCACAGUCUUUAAAUGUCUUGAUCUUACAGAAGGAUUUAUUAUAAAAAUGAUCGUAUGGUUACUACCUAAAUUCACAGAGGAAGACCGCCACCAUCUACAGGAAAGAUGCACCCUAGCAAUGCACCCAAACAUGAAAGACUGAUUUGCAGGAGUUGCCCCUUUCUUGUUCCUUAAAAUGAUUUCAAGUCCUAAAUCGCAAUUUGGUCGUGAAGACACUGAAGACACUGACCAAAUUUUCUAAGGGUAAUCUCUUGUAAACAGGUAAGACACCGUUUGCAGGAAGUGGGAAGGCGCUUUAAAUUUACCUUGAGAACUGUAAAAUGAAUAAGAAUAUUAUGACUCACUGACAUUUCACACAUGUGAAACAUCCAUAUUACAAAAAACCAUUGCCUCAUAAGUGGAUACCCUUGACAAGCAAACCGCCUAGGGGGAACACUCCCAAAGAACUUAAU
rnacentral:lncRNA from 1 species